rnacentral:rRNA from 1 species
AGGGAAUCUUCCGCAAUGGGCGAAAGCCUGACGGAGCGAUGCCGCGUGAGCGAGGAAGGCCUUCGGGUCGUAAAGCUCUGUUGUCAGGGAAGAAGGACUCGGGUUCGAAUAGGGCCUGAGGGUGACGGUACCUGACGAGGAAGCCCCGGCUAACUACGUGCCAGCAGCCGCGGUAAUACGUAGGGGGCGAGCGUUGUCCGGAAUCACUGGGCGUAAAGGGCGCGUAGGCGGCCGGUUAAGUCUGGUGUCAAAGGCGACGGCUCAACCGUGGGGAGGCACUGGAAACUGGCCGGCUUGAGUGCAGGAGAGGGAAGCGGAAUUCCCGGUGUAGCGGUGAAAUGCGUAGAGAUCGGGAGGAACACCAGUGGCGAAGGCGGCUUCCUGGCCUGUGACUGACGCUGAGGCGCGAAAGCGUGGGGAGCGAAC